UGCCAGCCUGCACAUGCACGCAGCUCUGCGUGUUCUAGCACAGCAUCCAUGGGUACGAGCCCCAGUGGCACUAUGAGCGAACACAGGCUUUGCAGCCCUCCAGCCUUGGGUUAGGAUGUUAAUCCCGUGGAACUGCACACUGCUGUCACCUGGCAUUUCUUACUCUCCUGUCAUCUCGGCAGAAGCUGUGUGUCCUCAGCAAGACCAUCUGUUUCUGCAAAAGUUCUGCUACCCAGGAAUAUCUGAUUCAGAGGACGGUCACAUGCCAGUUUCUGACAAGACAGCCUUUCCAGGCACAAACCUUCAAUAAACACUUCUCUGUACUUGG